rnacentral:misc_RNA from 1 species
UGUUUGCGUUAGGGAUUGCAGUGAAAAGCCCACAGCCUGACGCAGGAAGUGCGAGGACUUGUAACGUAAAGCCCGACCCUUG